rnacentral:rRNA from 1 species
UCAACUUGAGAGUUUGAUCCUGGCUCAGAACGAACGCUGGCGGCAGGCCUAACACAUGCAAGUCGAGCGGACCCUUCGGGGUUAGCGGCGGACGGGUUAGUAACGCGUGGGAACGUGCCCAAAGGUACGGGAUAGCCUCGGGAAACUGAGAGUAAUACCGUAUGUGCCCCUCGGGGGAAAGAUUUAUCGCCUUUGGAUCGGCCCGCGUUGGAUUAGGUAGUUGGUGGGGUAAUGGCCUACCAAGCCUACGAUCCAUAGCUGGUUUGAGAGGAUGAUCAGCAACACUGGGACUGAGACACGGCCCAGACUCCUACGGGAGGCAGCAGUGGGGAAUCUUAGACAAUGGGGGAAACCCUGAUCUAGCCAUGCCGCGUGGACGAUGAAGGCCUUAGGGUUGUAAAGUCCUUUCAGCUGGGAAGAUAAUGACGGUACCAGCAGAAGAAGCCCCGGCUAACUCCGUGCCAGCAGCCGCGGUAAUACGGAGGGGGCUAGCGUUGUUCGGAAUUACUGGGCGUAAAGCGCGCGUAGGCGGAU